GGCGGACGGGUGAGUAACACGUGGGUAACCUGCCUGUAAGACUGGGAUAACUCCGGGAAACCGGAGCUAAUACCGGAUAGUUCCUUGAACCGCAUGGUUCAAGGAUGAAAGACGGUUUCGGCUGUCACUUACAGAUGGACCCGCGGCGCAUUAGCUAGUUGGUGGGGUAAUGGCUCACCAAGGCGACGAUGCGUAGCCGACCUGAGAGGGUGAUCGGCCACACUGGGACUGAGACACGGCCCAGACUCCUACGGGAGGCAGCAGUAGGGAAUCUUCCGCAAUGGACGAAAGUCUGACGGAGCAACGCCGCGUGAGUGAUGAAGGUUUUCGGAUCGUAAAGCUCUGUUGUUAGGGAAGAACAAGUGCGAGAGUAACUGCUCGCACCUUGACGGUACCUAACCAGAAAGCCACGGCUAACUACGUGCCAGCAGCCGCGGUAAUACGUAGGUGGCAAGCGUUGUCCGGAAUUAUUGGGCGUAAAGGGCUCGCAGGCGGUUUCUUAAGUCUGAUGUGAAAGCCCCCGGCUCAACCGGGGAGGGUCAUUGGAAACUGGGAAACUUGAGUGCAGAAGAGGAGAGUGGAAUUCCACGUGUAGCGGUGAAAUGCGUAGAGAUGUGGAGGAACACCAGUGGCGAAGGCGACUCUCUGGUCUGUAACUGACGCUGAGGAGCGAAAGCGUGGGGAGCGAACAGGAUUAGAUACCCUGGUAGUCCACGCCGUAAACGAUGAGUGCUAAGUGUUAGGGGGUUUCCGCCCCUUAGUGCUGCAGCUAACGCAUUAAGCACUCCGCCUGGGGAGUACGGUCGCAAGACUGAAACUCAAAGGAAUUGACGGGGGCCCGCACAAGCGGUGGAGCAUGUGGUUUAAUUCGAAGCAACGCGAAGAACCUUACCAGGUCUUGACAUCCUCUGACAACCCUAGAGAUAGGGCUUUCCCUUCGGGGACAGAGUGACAGGUGGUGCAUGGUUGUCGUCAGCUCGUGUC
rnacentral:rRNA from 1 species